CCUACGGGAGGCAGCAGUGGGGAAUAUUGCACAAUGGUGGAAACCCUGAUGCAGCGACGCCGCGUGAGUGAAGAAGUAAUUCGUUAUGUAAAGCUCUAUCAGCAGGGAAGAAAAUGACGGUACCUGAGUAAGAAGCCCCGGAUCACUACGUGCCAGCAGCCGCGGUAAUACGUAGGGGGCAAGCGUUAUCCGGAUUUACUGGGGGUAAAGGGAGCGUAGACGGCAGUGCAAGUCUGGAGUGAAAGGCGGGGGCUCAACCCCCGGACUGCUCUGGAAACUGUACGUCUGGAGUGCAGGAGAGGUAAGUGGAAUUCCUGGUGUAGCGGUGAAAUGCGUAGAUAUUAGGAGGAACACCAGUGGCGAAGGCGGCUUACUGGACUGUAACUGACGUUGAGGCUCGAAAGCGUGGGGAGCGAACAGGAUUAGAUACCCUUGUAGUC
rnacentral:rRNA from 1 species